UACCAACAACAUGGUGGUGGGAGUAUCUAACGAUUUUGAGAAGAGACCUUCAACUAGUUGGUGUCGGUUAUCGUGCAAACAUAGAAGGAAAAGACUUGGUGUUAAGUCUGGGGUUCUCUCAUCCAGUUAGGAUGGCAACCCCUGGUGACCUGCAAGUGAAGGUGUAAGAGCACCAGGAUUGUUGUCAAUGGAAAUGACAAAUGUUCCAUUGGUGAGUUUGCUGCUUCAAUUCGGAGAUGGAGACCCCCUGAACCAUAUAAAGGGUUUUGCUCAUUUGUAUGCAUCAACAAUGUGGAAUGUAUUAUGCUAACAGUAACACAUUACAUUGCCAAGCAGUGUAAGUUUUCCCCCUUCUCUUUUAUUUGUUUUCUCUUCUCUAUUCAAUGAUUACAAGUUGUAUUUCCCAAGUUUUUGAUUAUUGCUUUUUGUAAUAGAGUUUUACGAGUAUUUGUGGAAAAGAAGCAAAGAUGCAUUGAGAAUUUCAUUGUAGUCCUCAAUUUGAUGCAAUGAAUUAUUUUUUUAAUC